CCUACGGGAGGCAGCAGUGGGGAAUCUUGCGCAAUGAGCGAAAGCCUGACGCAGCCAUGCCGCGUGAAUGAUGAAGGUCUUAGGAUUGUAAAAUUCUUUCAGUAAGGACGAUAAUGACGGUACCUACAGAAGAAGCCCCGGCUAACUUCGUGCCAGCAGCCGCGGUAAU
rnacentral:rRNA from 1 species